rnacentral:rRNA from 1 species
UACGUAGGUGGCAAGCGUUGUCCGGAUUUAUUGGGCGUAAAGCGAGCGCAGGCGGUUUCUUAAGUCUGAUGUGAAAGCCCCCGGCUCAACCGGGGAGGGUCAUUGGAAACUGGGAGACUUGAGUGCAGAAGAGGAGAGUGGAAUUCCACGUGUAGCGGUGAAAUGCGUAGAUAUAUGGAGGAACACCAGUGGCGAAGGCGGCUCUCUGGUCUGUAACUGACGCUGAGGCUCGAAAGCGUGGGGAGCAAACA